rnacentral:rRNA from 1 species
AUACGAAGGGGGCAAGCGUUGUUCGGAACAACUGGGCGUAAAGCGCACGUAGGCGGAAUGUUAAGUUAGAGGUGAAAUCCCAGGGCUCAACCCUGGAACUGCCUUUAAUACUGGCAAUCUAGAGACCGAGAGAGGUGAGUGGAAUUCCGAGUGUAGAGGUGAAAUUCGUAGAUAUUCGGAGGAACACCAGUGGCGAAGGCGGCUCACUGGCUCGGUACUGACGCUGAGGUGCGAAAGCGUGGGUAGCAAACGGGAUUAGAAACCCCAGUAGUCC